UUUGUGGAGGGGGCACUUGUCAUUUUUAUAUGAGUUACCGUAUUUUGUUGAAUGAAAAAAUUCACCGAAAUAACCAAUAAACAAAAAUAGGAGGAGGGCACUGCCUGUAUAAAAUAGUUUUGAAAAUAAUUAAUGAAAUAUUUUUCUUGACAAACGAGUAUAAACUUAUAAUUUUGAACUAUAUUCAUUCAAUACCAUAAAUACACUCUAUCGGAUCACAUUCACAGCAACGAUUUAAUUUGGUAAGUUGUUGACCAGCAUUUGUUUUGGCAUCAAUUGUGAACUUCACAAGUGACGGGUACUCACACGUACCCAUUACUCGUCUAAUCGUGUUUAUUCAUUUUAAAAUAAAUGAAAGGUAAUUGUUUAUUUCAGUUAUGGUAUUUUUUAUUAUUGUUUUCAAUAUAAAACAUAAACUUAGAACUUAUUUUUUAUAAAAAAAUAUGCAUUUUAUAUUAUAUUAUAUCAACUG